UGGGGAAUCAUGGUCAAUGGGCGAAAGCCUGAACCUGCGACGCCGCGUGAGUGAUGAAGGUCGUAAGAUCGUAAAACUCUUUUCAGGGAUCUUAAAGCCUGUCUGUCAACAACAGGCAGGUCUGACUCUCCCUGGAAGAAGCCCCAGCCAACUACGUGCCAGCAGCUGCGGUAAUACGUAGGGGGCGAGCGUUAUUCGGAAUUACUGGGUGUAAAGAGCGUGUAGGAGGCAAUACAAGUUGGAUGUAAAAGCUCUCGGCUAAACUGAGAGAGGACGUUCAAGACUGUAGAGCUAGAGGAAGGCAGAGGUAGAUGGAACUCCGGGAGUAGUGGUGAAAUGCGUAGAUAUCGGGAGGAAUAUCAGUGGCGAAGGCGCCCAUCUGGACGUUAACUGACGCUGAGACGCGAAAGCGUGGGGAGCAAACA
rnacentral:rRNA from 1 species